rnacentral:rRNA from 1 species
UACGUAGGGAGCAAGCGUUGUCCGGAAUCACUGGGCGUAAAGCGCACGUAGGCGGCUUUUUAAGUCAGGGGUGAAAUCCUGGAGCUCAACUCCAGAACUGCCUUUGAUACUGAGAAGCUUGAGUCCGGGAGAGGUGAGUGGAACUGCGAGUGUAGAGGUGAAAUUCGUAGAUAUUCGCAAGAACACCAGUGGCGAAGGCGGCUCACUGGCCCGGUACUGACGCUGAGGUGCGAAAGCGUGGGGAGCAAACAGG